UUCCAGCAGCGAAGCAAGCUAGGAUCAUGGUGGUGAGGCUGUGCUACCGAGGCGGGCCGCUACCGCGGCUGCUCUUCUCGCCUCAGAAGCCCAGGAUUUACUUCCCCGCGGCUGGGCGUGUGGCCGCGUACGGAACCUCAGUGACCUCUGCCAAAGUGUCUGUGAAUGGUGUUCACCUGCAUUAUCAGCAGACCGGAGAGGGCGAGCAUGCAGUCCUGCUGCUUCCUGGGAUGUUGGGAAGUGGAGAGACCGAUUUUGCACCCCAGCUUAAGAACCUAAGUAAGAAGCUCUUCACUGUGGUGGCCUGGGAUCCUCGAGGAUAUGGACAUUCCAGACCCCCAGAUAGAGACUUCCCAGUGGACUUCUUUGAAAGGGAUGCAAAAGAUGCUGUUGAUUUGAUGAAGACGCUGAAGUUCAAGAAGGUCUCCCUGCUCGGAUGGAGUGACGGUGGCAUAACUGCACUCUUUGCUGCUGCGAAAUAUCCAUCUUAUAUCAAUAAGAUGGUGAUUUGGGGAGCUAAUGCCUAUGUCACUGAAGAGGAUGAAAGAAUUUAUCAGGGUAUCCGGGAUGUUUCUAAAUGGAGUGAAAAAACAAGGAAGCCUCUAGAAGCCCUGUAUGGAUAUGACUACCUGGCCAAAACCUGUGAAAAGUGGGUGGAUGGCAUAGGACAGUUUAAACAUCUACCAGAUGGUAACAUCUGUCGGCACUUGCUACCCCUGGUUCAGUGUCCCACCCUAAUUGUGCACGGGGAGAAGGAUCCUCUUGUCCCACGUUUUCAUGCUGACUUCAUACAUGAGCAUGUGAAAGGGUCACGGUGAGUUCAGGCACCACACCAGCACCCCUGCCUGCAAAGUCUCAGUGAACGAGAGGAGCCACAGGAAGGAAAAGAAACAGGAGAAGCUGGAGUUUUAGGUGCACACUAGAACAUAGAGUUACAUCUGAUGCCAGAAGGCAAACACAACCUGCAUUUACGUUUUGCUAAUGAAUUCAACAAGUUAGCAGAAGACUUCCUGCAAUGAAAAUGCCCCUAAGAACUUUUGUGUCAUAGUGGUUCCGUAGCAUCCCACUUCAUCACGUCACUGCCUGUUAGUUACCAUGAUGCCCUGAAGCUCAGAAACUCCCUGCUUUACAUCACAACUCAGUUCACCUGCCUUCCCAGGCUCUCUACCCUCUGAACAAUGUGAUUCUCAGCAAACAGGAAUAAUGACUAUGGGCAGCAGCCUCCAGCUUUAAUAGUUACAGAGAUGAAAUCUUAUUUUUGAACAUGAAUUUGUGAGUUUCUGUCAUUGUCUUAAAAGUAAAUCCCUGCCAUAUUUUAUUUUCAAAUAAACUUUAAGUGGAAAAUUUGUAGUAUUCAUAUCUACUAU